UUCCGCCGGUGUACAUCACGCCGAGUCCGCGCCGCAUCAGUCCGCAACGCCGAGCCCCGCGCGCCGUGAACUCGCUCGACACGCGGAAACUCGAUCGAAGCUUUUCCAUCCUGUGUCGGUCGGCUCCCUCCGGAAAUGGCCUGACCGACACGGUCGUUGUUCCGGCUCAGAGUUUAGUUGGCAGUCUCAUUUUGUGUUUGAGUUCGUCGGGUGCUCCUGUGCUGCCUUUUGGAUAUACUCUUUCAGAGUGCAGGCGGUUGAUGCUCGCAGCGCUCGGGGCGAUGUGAAUCGCUGGAGAUGUCCUCCCUCGCAGAGGAAGGUGGCGGUGGGGGCAACGGCACACACAGAAUGGACUUGCCCGACGCCCUGCUCCGCACCCUGGUGCCCCACGACGGCGGCCCCAGCGGCCCCCUCGACGUGGGGGAGGACGCGGCGGUGCCCAACGCCACCUUGCGGCCGCACGUGCUGGGGCCGGUGCCGCACCUGC